rnacentral:rRNA from 1 species
GGAAUAUUGGACAAUGGGGGCAACCCUGAUCCAGCAAUGCCGCGUGUGUGAAGAAGGCCUGCGGGUUGUAAAGCACUUUCGGUGGGGAGGAAAAGCGCGGUGCCAAUACCACCGUGUGUUGACGUUACCCAUAGAAGAAGCACCGGCUAACUCCGUGCCAGCAGCCGCGGUAAUACGGAGGGUGCGAGCGUUAAUCGGAAUUACUGGGCGUAAAGCGCGCGUAGGCGGUUUGUUAAGUCAGAUGUGAAAUCCCCGGGCUCAACCUGGGAAUGGCAUUUGAGACUGGCAGGCUAGAGUGUGGUAGAGGUGAGUGGAAUUUCAGGUGUAGCGGUGAAAUGCGUAGAGAUCUGAAGGAACAUCAGUGGCGAAGGCGACUCACUGGGCCAUUACUGACGCUGAGGUGCGAAAGCGUGGGUAGCAAAC